rnacentral:rRNA from 1 species
AGUGAACGCUGGCGGUAGGCCUAACACAUGCAAGUCGAACGGCAGCACAGGAGAGCUUGCUCUCUGGGUGGCGAGUGGCGGACGGGUGGGGAAUACAUCGGAAUCUGCCCAGUCGUGGGGGAUAACGUAGGGAAACUUACGCUAAUACCGCAUACGACCUUCGGGUGAAAGAGGGGGAUCGCAAGACCUCUCGCGAUUGGAUGAACCGAUGUCGGAUUAGCUAGUUGGCGGGGUAAUGGCCCACCAAGGCGACGAUCCGUAGCUGGUCUGAGAGGAUGAUCAGCCACACUGGAACUGAGACACGGUCCAGACUCCUACGGGAGGCAGCAGUGGGGAAUAUUGGACAAUGGGCGCAAGCCUGAUCCAGCCAUACCGCGUGGGUGAAGAAGGCCUUCGGGUUGUAAAGCCCUUUUGUUGGGAAAGAAAUCUUUCAGGCUAAUACCCUGGGAGGAUGACGGUACCCAAAGAAUAAGCACCGGCUAACUUCGUG